UACUGCCUUGAUUCUUGUGAUUAUCAUAUUCACCUCUAACUUCUGUAUUUGUAAAUACAAGAGCUAGAAGGAGCAAGGGAACUAGGAGAAAGUAGCUGGAGGCCAGCCUGGGCAUGAGACUUCUCUGGUACAAGCUAUUGUUUUAGAAGAACAUGCUUGAGGGUUUUCUGUUUCUGAUAUAUCUAGGGACAUCAGCUGUCUAGCUCCAGCUCCAGUGGCAACUCACCAGUUCACAUUCUGACUGCUACUCCUGAACAAUGAAGGCCUGUACAGUACAGAAGUUGAUAUAAUCCAGUAGCCUGUCUGCAAAACACGGGAGAGGCAGCACAAGCACAUUUCAGCCUCUGAUAAAACUGUAAAAAAAGUCCUUUUUUUGUUUUUCCAAUCUAAGCCAGGCUGUUGUACCAACAUUAAUACAACCCCUGAAAGUCAGCGGGACCAUAACAUAAUGAUGUGCAGAAGAUAAGCUAUCGUUACUGGUGGAUUGAGCUGGUGGUUAUGGCUGCUGCAUUUGUCUAAAGAGAGUUCAAAAGAUUUAACCUCCUCAUAAAUGCUGGAACAGAGGCACAUAUUAUUGUCCAAGAAAAAGUAAUGUGCAAAGACACUUCAAAACAUGCUGGCAUUGCCCUGAAGAGAAAAAGAGGAAAGAAAGGAGGCAAGUUAUGCGCAGGAGCAAGGAGAGGGAACAGAAAACCAGGCAGCAGAAUACCUGUGAGUGUACUCCUGAGAAAAAGCUGAAAGGGUGCUCUUUGAUCUAAACACUUUCUUGGUUAAAAGGUCUUUGAGCUGCAAGCAAAAAACCUAUUCUCAGCUAUUUGAUGCCCUCGGUGCUCAGGGAAACAGGAUCUUGCGCAUUCUUUAUAAAUAAGAGGGAUUCCAGAGAUACCUGAGCCUCCAUCAUCAGCCUCUUUCAAGAACACAAAGCCUUGAACUUUGAUCACUCACUUCUGACAAAAGGGAUAACAGCCUGAGUUGCUCUCCUCCUCCUUUCCUCAAAAAUUAGAAAGAUAAAUCAUUUACAUGCUAAAAUGUGCUAUACAGGCUACUUGAAAAUACAGUGCUUUACCUUCUGAAAGUAUUACAACUCCAAAGACAACUUAAAUCUAACAAUUUACUGGAAGUAAAUUAUUUGAAGUGAAAAAUCAAA